rnacentral:rRNA from 1 species
GACGUAGGGCGCGAGCGUUGUCCGGAUUUAUUGGGCGUAAAGAGCUCGUAGGCGGCUUGUCGCGUCGACUGUGAAAACCCGCGGCUCAACUGCGGGCUUGCAGUCGAUACGGGCAAACUAGAGUAUUGCAGGGGAGACUGGAAUUCCUGGUGUAGCGGUGAAAUGCGCAGAUAUCAGGAGGAACACCGGUGGCGAAGGCGGGUCUCUGGGCAAUAACUGACGCUGAGGAGCGAAAGCGUGGGGAGCGAACAGG